AUUGAACGCUGGCGGCAUGCUUUACACAUGCAAGUCGAACGGCAGCACGGGGGCAGCCCUGGUGGCGAGUGGCGAACGAGUGAGUAACAUAUCGGAACAUAUCCGCAAGUGGGGGAUAACGUAGCGAAAGUUACGCUAAUACCACAUAUACCCUGAGGGGGAAAGGAGGGGAUCGCAAGACAUUGCGCGUACGGAGUGGGCAGUAUCAGAUUAGCUAGUUGGUGGGGUAAAGGCCCACGAAGGCGACGAUCUGUAGCGGGUAUGCGAGGAUGAUCCGCUACACUGGGACUGAGACACGGCCCCGACUCAUACGGGAGGCAGCAGUGGGGAAUUUUGGACAAUGGGAGCAAGCAUGAUCCAGCCAUGCCGCGUGAGUGAAGAAGGCCUUCGGGUUGUAAAGCUCUUUCAGCCGGAAAAAAAUCGCACUAUCUAAUACAUAGUGUGAUGAUGGUACCGGAAGAAGAAGCACCGGCUAACUACGUGCCAGCAGCCGCGGUAAAAC
rnacentral:rRNA from 1 species